UACAGAGGUCCCAAGCGUUGUUCGGAUUCAUUGGGCGUAAAGGGUGCGUAGGCGGCGCGGUAAGUCGGGUGUGAAAUCUCGGGGCUUAACUCCGAAACUGCAUUCGAUACUGCCGUGCUUGAGGACUGGAGAGGAGACUGGAAUUUACGGUGUAGCGGUGAAAUGCGUUGAUAUCAGAAGGAACGCCGGUGGCGAAAGCGACGUGCUGGACUUCUUCUGACGCUGAGGCGCGAAAGCUAGGGGAGCAAACGGG
rnacentral:rRNA from 1 species